CAGGAGAGUCUGGGACACGGGACAGGCUGGGAUAUGGGACAGCCUGGGACAAGGGGCUGCUUCAAGGGCAUCCUCAGUCUAUGGGGAUAAAUGAAGGGUGUGAUAAGAGGCUGAUCACUCCAAGCAAGCGUUUGUAUUUUUAUUUUCAAGCAACUGUGCUUGCUUGAAAAGAGAAAUGUUCAGUCACAGAGUUUACAGGUGCUUUUGGGAUUUCCUCAGCACAGGAGUGAUGUGCACACCUGCACCACCCCUACACAACCCCUACAUGACCCCUACAGCAUCCCUACAUCCCCACACAGCACUGCUUGAGCACCAGGAGCAUCCUCCCCUUCUAGAGGCAGCAGGGCAGAGCAAGCUGGCAGUGUGGGGUGGGUACCACAGGGAACAGGGCAAUACACAAUUCUUCAUGGACGGGACACUUCAGUUACACAGGCAAACCCUGCUCUGACCCAAAGUCACCAACGAGACGUAGUUUUAAACAAUUUUAUACCAAUUUUGAACCCAGCAUCAGCCUGGGCUGUGAAUUUUUUUAGCUCUGUGACUCUGACACACUGUCUGGACACUGCUACAGGAGAGAUGGAGCAGUUGUAGUUCUCUAGCUUGAAGCUGAAACACAGAGGUCUGUCAUUCCUGAACACUGAAGGUGGGAGAGUAACUAAUUUUUCCUGGCUAAUUUUCUUUCCAUUUCCAGCCCCCUAAUUACUUCUCUGCUUUGGUUGCCAUUCAGCUCCACUUGAUUAGGCUGUUGUAAAGAGCAGCUAUGGCAAAGGAACACAUGAGGUAGGAUCCUCCUCAGAAAUCUGCAGGUGAUGCGUUUUCUGAUUGCACAGACUCAUGUUACUUUACAUGCAGAUGCAAAGACUAUUUUGGAUGUUGAAAAUAUUCAGCAUCUGCUUCAGUUUUGGAAGGAUAAAGUUGUUUUUUUUUUUUUUCCUUAGUUACCAGCGCACACUACAAAGCAUGUCUUUUUCUCAUUAAGGUGAGGAGCUUUUGUGUUGGUUCCAGUGUCCAACUGCCCAGUGUGAUUAGAACUGCCAAAAACGGUAACCCAGGAAAUUUCAUUUUCCACAAUAUUUUAGUUCUGGCUGACUCGGUAGAAUCCCAGCAGUGAGCUAUGAGCAAUGAUACAUGAAGUGAAAAAUGUUUGCCCUCCCUCCCAAGCCUCUCUGCACUCUGCAUAAACCACUCAUAGUCCGUGCUGAGGUCAUGAGCUUUGCUGUCAGACCCAGCUCCAAAGGAGAUGUUCCCUGCCUCUUUUCCAGGUGGUUUUGAUACCACUGUGGCUUGAUAGAAAGCAAAUUUCCAUCUCAGGAGAAGUUCUCCCUAUUGCCAGUAUUAGUUUCAGAUCAGAACUUCCCAUGAGAUAAUACAAAAAGACUGGCUUGAGGCCCAGGGUUCAGCAUAAUUUGCCUUAAAUUUGUGUUUGCUUGGUUCAUGUUAUAAGGAAAUAGUUUUGUAUCUAGUCACUGCAUAUUAUGUAGAGCAGCCCUGAAAAGAGCCUCAAAUGCCAUAUUCCAAGGGAAGUAGAAAAACUAUAACAAAGUUUGUCUGGCAGUUGGAAAGUUGGUGAGUAAUGUGAAAGUGUGCCUGGAACAGGAAACAAUGCAGUUUACUGUAGUGGGAUCUGCACUCAGAGAUCCUUCUGAAAGCUGCUCAUGUGGAAAGAAUGAAAAACUAGAGCAAGGCAGGCAGGUAGAGUUCCUAACAAGCCAUAACAGGCUUUCAUCGAUGGCUUUAGCAGCUUUUCACUGCUCAGAUGCUAUUUCUGCAUCCAGAGGUUAGGAUAUAAUGGGAUGUGCAGAUGCAUAGAUAUUUUCCCUUCUUUUGACUGACGGAUUUGAAGAAUAUGAACCACAAGCUCUAUGCCAUAAAUGGGAAAGGCAGUUCUUCCAGCCUUCAUGAGAAGUUUCAUAAAUUAUUAGUUUCAGCAGUAAAAUGUUGGCUAUAUUUAUGUUUAGAGAAGAAAAAGUUGGGUAAAACUUUCCAACAACUAUACAGACUCUGAAAAGUUUUUCUGUUUCUUCCGUCCCCACUCUGGCAUGGCUCUAUUUGCUAAAUAUGCUGUAAGUUUAUUUUUUACUCUUAAAAUCACCCAAGAAGGUCACCAAUUAAAUUACUCUUCCCAUAUGGAAUUAAGUAGGAGCAGAUUAGUAGUUAAAGCAAGGACACUCUUGUGGGUCUUCUCUAGAUCUUAAUGGAUUACUAUUUUAAUAUUUGAAGUUUACUCUGAGUAUCCAGUUUAGCUGGAAAAGAAGUCACAGACCUCACAGGAUUUUUGAAAUUCGUCUGUGCUUUUUAUUUUUCUUCUUUCAGGACACCACAAUCCUGUUUAUUCAAAGGUCACUGUGCUGAAAGCAAUAUCUGCAGAUAACAAGAAAUCCUGAAGACAGUCACAGAAGGACAAAUUGAAAGAAACAAGUAGAGCACAACACCGGAAAGUGGAUGAAGAAACAAAGCUCUGCCUUUGAGAGAUCUCUGUGAAUCUCUGGCACGUAGCAGCAAGAGGGAGGAAAUGGGAGGCUAAGAAGGACAGAGCAUCUGCUCACAUUGUGGCUGCACUCUCCAUCCAAACAUCAGGCUCUGGAAAGUCACAGCUCAAGUUCUGACUGUGAAUAUCUUGGCUCAUGUCAAUGCUCUUCCUGCACCCACCUGACUUCAGCUGGAUUUUUGCCACUGACUUCUUUGGGGGUAGCAUCACCAAAAUCUGAACUGGUUUAGUCUUAAUACCUAAGGAUUAAUAAAAAUGUUCACUAGGA